UAUUCAAAAUUUCAUCAAUUUAUAUUAUUAAAAUUGGCGUGGUUAACAAAAUAACAUGUGACGUGUCACGUGUACUUUAUAUUGAUAUACAUGGAUUAGUUUUUAACAAUGAAAAUGGAUGAAAUUUUUAACA
rfam:Gossypium raimondii Chr13_contig_28, whole genome shotgun sequence.